UACAGAGGGUGCGAGCGUUGUCCGGAAUCACUGGGCGUAAAGGGCGCGUAGGUGGCCCGACAAGUCACUGGUGAAAGCUCGAUGCUCAACAUCGAGUCGGCCAGUGAUACUGUUGGGCUGGAGCACUGUAGAGGCUAAUGGAAUUCCGGGUGUAGCGGUGGAACGCGUAGAGAUCCGGAAGAACACCGGUGGCGAAGGCGGUUAGCUGGGCAGUUGCUGACACUGAGGCGCGACAGCGUGGGGAGCAAACAGG
rnacentral:rRNA from 1 species